rnacentral:lncRNA from 1 species
GUAUUCAUCAUCUAAGCCAUGGAGAUUGACUGGAACUUAUUAUAAAGCUUAUAGCUUUACCUGGCUUAAGGUCUUCUCCCUCAAGGACAAACUGUGGAGAGGUUAGCCCUGAUCUGAUAAUUGGGAAGGUCUCUUUAUUUAAUGAUUCCAUUUUAUUCUAUUAAUGGUCUGAGUAUUAUAAUGGUCUGAUUCCAUUUUAUUAAUUACUCUUCUGUUUGCUCACUUAAAAAUAAUAAAAAAAUAUUAAAAAUAAUCUGCCAAUAUCUCUUGAAGUCCUCAAUC